GUAAAUAUAGUUUAUAAAAACCCCAGACUGUGAAUCUGGAAAUAAGAGAUAAAACUCUUUAUUUACC
rnacentral:tRNA from 1 species